CAACAAUUUAAAAAAAUUACAAAGCACAAACACAUACCACUUUUACAUGGAAAAUAUGGCCUGUUCAAAUUUUAAAAAAUUGACACAAACCAUCACCAAGGAAGCCCAGAUAUUGGACUUACUAGAUAAGGUCUUGUUGUUGAGAACAGAAUAUCUUAAUAUUAUAAUGUGAUAGCUCUGGAAAUCGAAUUCUCCACCUUCCUCAGCAUUUACUUUUCACUGUUUGUCUGUAAUCAUCUUUUGACCCAGUAACUUUCCCAUCCCUCUUGCCCAGAGACCCGAUCCCCUGUCAGGUGUGCCCCUGGUGCUCAGCGAGGGUGUGGACCGGGGCUGCCUUGCCUGACAGGCACGCAGACCUCGCCUGCCUCCUUUGGUCCUCUCCUCGAAGCUCUGCACUGUGAUUCGCAUUCUGAGCACCGGGAUCAGCCAAAGAUGAACCCUAAGGUCUCUCCAGGACUUUUCUGCGCAUGAAUCUCGUCAUGGGUGUGGGUGUGGCUUUGCAAAUUCUCCUGGAUACACCUGCACUUUUGAAUGCCCUGAGUCUCCAAAGAAAUUCUCUCCCUGAUCUUUUCUCCCACUGCGUGGGUCAUCUGUCGGGUCUCAGUCUUGCUACAGGUUGUUUCCCGCCAUCCAAUGCGCCAAGUAAGUUCCAAAUUAGGCACAACAGAUGAAGGCACCGGCCUCUGUCCUCCAGGCGGCUCGCAGGGACUGGGAGUGAGGCCCCUGCUCCCUCAGCCCUGGCUGCUGUCUCCAGGGUGGGUGGGUGAGGUGAGAGUGGCCUUGGCCUCCCCGCUGUUUUGAAGUUGCUGUCUCGGGGCCGGGGAUUUAGCUCAGUGGUUCCAGCACCUGCCUCACAAUCGCAAGGUCCCCCGAGUUCGAUCUCCGGUACAAAAAAAAAAACAAAAAUGAAGUUGCUGUCUCUUCGCUCACAGUUUCUUAGUUGCUGUGUUCCAGAGUUCUGACAAAGUUAAUUCUGGUCGCUCUGGUUGGCCCUAGAUGUUUCUCUUGGUAGAUGGAGCUCAGAGCUGCCUGCCGGACCAUUUUGAUGGCACUGCCUGAAGUGACCCUUCCAAAGCCCGCUUCUCACCUUGGGAUCUAUUUUCCCACUGAUAUUAAUAUGGCUAAGCCAGCAUAUGUUGGUUAAUAUCAUUGUGGUAUAACUUUUCCCAUUCCUUUUCUACCUUUUUGCACUUGUGUUUUAAUGAUUCUUAUAAAAAGUAUACAAGUGACUUUACAUGUCUCAGCCUAACAAUUUCUGUCUUCACUGAAGCAUUUAAUUCUUUUACAUACAAUGUGAUGCUUCUCUGUCUGAUUUUGACUUUAUACUCCUUAUGGAGCUUUCUAAUUGUCUCUCAUCUUUGCGUUUGUUUCUGCCCUUUUGUGUUAUAUUUUAUCAUUCUAUUCUUUUUUCUAUACUAAUUUUAAAGUAACAAUCUAUUUAUGUAAUUUCAGCUGUUACCCUAGAAAUUAAAAGAUACAAGCUCAGUACAUUACAGGCAACAGAAGACCUAUAGCAUUUAUCCUAGCACCAGUUAAUUUAUCAAAUUCAUUUUCUUUAUCUACUGCAAAUUAUUUUUACAAGUCAAAGAUUAUUUACUUAGAGUUAAUUAUUUCCAACUCACACAGUACACAUCCAUGUUGGGAGCUGUCAAAGUUCAAAAAUAUCCAAAGUCCAGAGGAAAAUAUUUUAAAUGGAAGAAAAAUCUUGGUCACCUUCCAGACUUUUUGCCAAGAAAAGGAUCAAAUUAACACAGCUAUCAACGUUCUAGCGCUGCUGUAACAAAACGCCAAGGACAAGGUGACUGCCUGCUGCCCGAGGUCCAGGAGGGCGGCGUCCACAGCCUCUCUGCCUCAUGGACCUUCGGUGUGCCUGUGUCCUGCCCUUUUCAAAACAGCAGUCAGCUGAAUUCAGACCCCUAACCCGAGAAGGCCUGGUCCUAGCUGAAUCGCCUGUUUACUAUCUGUGGUGGUUAAGGUCAUUCUAAGUGGGAACGCCCAGCUGAGCCGAGUCACCCACCUGGGUGAGGACUGUUGCCAAGGGCAUACAGGAGAAUGGGCGGGAAGGUGCUGCCAUUGAUCUUCCUGGAGAAGCUGGCUGUGGCUGGUUUUCCUGAAACUAAGUCAGCUGUUCUCGAAGGAGGAGGAGGAGGAGCCGGGUCCUUGCGCUGUCGCUGGGAUGGCUGCUGUUCUCUUCCAGGAGUGCUGGUCUUCACCGUGCGCACACGAGCCUCAGCCUGUGUACUGACCCCUCGCCCCGCAGGUGCAGACUUUCCAGCUUCACCACGGGCACCCGGCAUUCCCAGUCGACUCUCUGUAUGGACUUGCCUGUGACGUUGCCCUGGGCCCCACGCCUCUGAGUGGUCUCAGCAACAGCACCUGUCUCCAAACACAGCCACAUUCAGCGUUGGUGCCAGGUAAUGUGGCAGAGCAAACCUGCGGCAUCACCUGGAGGGAGCAAAGAGAGAGGAGGACUGGGGAUCUGGAUCUCCUCACCCGCUCUUAGCCAAAAGGCUGGGCCUCCACCAAGCCACGUCCUCGAAGAGCUGCAGGCCUCCUGCCAGGCCCCUCCUUUGGGUCCACAGCACCUCCCAUAGCAGCGCCCUGGCACCUGCAGAGACCACAGGACUCCGAGGGUAGCAAAUGUCUAUGCAAACCUGCAGCUGGCAUCAGCCUCAAUGGUGAAAGGCUAAAUGCUUUCCUUAAAAUAGGGAACAAGGGGCGAAUCUGCUCACACCACCGCUAUUUAAUGUAGUAUAAGUAGGGGCCAACAGCGUAGGCAAAGAAAGCAAAAAACGCCCAGAGCAGAAAUGACUGUUCCUAUUUGCAGACGACAUAAUAACUGAAGAAAUGUCUCACAAGAAAUUUAUAAAAAACAAAAAACCAAAACACUCCUAAAAAUAAAUUCAUCCUUCACAAAAUAGAAAUACAAUUGAUUUUUGUAUAUUAUCUUCUAUCCGCUAUGAAAGAACACAAACACUGAAAUUUAAUAUGUCAUCUGCCAUUAUUUAACAAAAAUUGAACACUUAUGUGUAAAUCUAACAAAACAUGCACUAGAUUUGCUUGCCGAAAAGGACACAACACCAAUGAAGUGAAUGAGAAAAGAUCUGAGUAAAUGGAGAGGACACGGGCUUGUGACUGGGUAGAUGCAACCUAAUAAAGAUCUGACUCUCUCCAAAUGGCAAGAUCGGUGCAAUUUCUAUUAAAAUCCUAGCAAGGAUUCUGUAGGUAUUAGUUAUUCAAAACUUAUAUGAGAAAGCAAAAGAAUCACUAAGAUGAAUUUGAAAAAGAAGAAUGAAGCCAGAGUAAUCGGUCUGCCCAAUUCCAAGACUUUUUUUUUUUAACCAAGGUAAGGGAGCAACUCAGCUGUGGAGAGAGAGCCUUUCCCACACACGGCCACCCACAGGCCAACAAGCGACUCUCAAGCUUCACAUCUUAUUCAAACAUUAUUUCAAAGGAGGACGCAGACUUAAGUAUAAAAUAACAUCACCACCACCCCCGUGUUCAGAAAAGAGGAGAAAAUCUGUGGUUUGUGGAAUGAGGCAAGAAGUUCUUAGACUGGACAUGAAAAGCAUGAUCCAUAAAAGGAAAAAUUGGUAAGUUGGACUGAAUCAAAACUUACAACUUUUGUUCUGCAAAAGACCAUGGCAGGAGGACUAACUAUAGUUAUAAUAAUUUGUUAUGGAAUACACAAUAUAAAUAGACAGAAAACACAAAAUCAGUGCAUAAAAUGUGGGGUGGGGAAGAAGUAAAAAUGUAGUCUUUGUAUGCAUUCAAAGUCAAGCUGUUGCUAGCUUAAAUUAGAAUAUUAUAACUAUACAUGUUUUAUGUAAGCCUCAUGAUAACCGCAAAGAAAAAAUCCUCUAGUAGGUACACAAAAAAUAAAGAGAAUGAAAUCAAAUCAUACCAGCACAAAAAUGGAACAAAUCAUAAAGGAAGACAGCAAGACCGGUAGAAAGGAAAAAGAAACCACAAAACAGUUGGCAAUAGUAAGUCAUGACCUGUCAAUAAUUCCUUUAAAUAUAGAUAACAUCUCUCAUCAAAAGAUAGAGUGGCCAAAUGGAUUUUUUAAAAUCCAAGAAUAUGCUGCCAAUAAGAGACUCAGUUUGCCUUAAGGAUACACAUGGGCCAAAGGGAAGGAAUGGGAAAAGCUAUUCCAGGCACAUGGAACCUAAAACCAGUCAAGGAUGGUUGUAUUUAUAUCAGACAAAACCAAUUUUAAGUUAAAAAAAAUUGUAAAAGGAGACAAGGAAGGCCACCAUAUAUUGAUAAGGGGGUCAAUUCAUCAAGAGCACAUAACAACCCUAAAUAUUUAUGUGCCAUGUUCGGAAAUUUAAAAGAAUUCUAAAAUAAUAAGGGACUCGGACUCUCUAAUAGCAAGAACACAAGCAAAACUCCCAAGAACUCUGAUUUUAAAAUGAGUGAAGGACCUGAAAAGACAUUCCUUAGGAGACAUACAAGUGGCCAGAGGAGGUAUGAAAAAAGUGCUCAGCAGGGUAACCACAGGGAAGCGCAGCCCAGACCCACGGGGAGACACGGUCCCUUGUCACCGCGGUCGUCGCUGAAUGGCUGUUCUGUAAUGACGGCAAAUCACUGCCAGCGGGUGUGGAGAGAGGAGCAUCCCUCACUGCCAGGGGGAGCAAGCCCAUGCGGCUGUGCAGAGGACCAAGGGAAGACCCCUGCAAACAUCAACCAUGGAGCCAGCAUGCAGCCGGCACCGCUGAGCACGCACGUGAAGGAAUGGAGGUGUCCGUCCACUGCAGCCCUGCUCGUGCUGCUAAGCGAGGAAGCCAUCUGUGCAGAUGUGUGGAUAAAGGAAAUGCGCUGCAUGGACACAACACAGUACUGUUCACUCUUUACAAUGAAAAGGAAAUCCAGUCAUCCGCAACAUGGACAGCCUGGAGGACACCGUGCUGAGUGACACAAGCCAGACGAGACAAGAAAAGCAGGUACUGCAUGUGGCACUCACGCCCAGACUCUGCCCUGUCCUCCUCACCAAGCACAGAGCAGGACACAGAGGCACGGGCCCACCGUGACAGCUUAGAGCUCUCUCUCAGACACGACGGUCGGAGAUCCGCAGCACGGCAAGGAGUGGAUUUCACAACUCCUGAAAGAGUCCAUGUGCAACAUCCUCCCCAGCACGCAGAGUGUGAGGAGACUGUGACCCUAGUUCGAUUUGAUCAUUCCACAGCGUAAACACACAUCGAAGGGUCACGCUGCACUCACACACGCAU
rnacentral:lncRNA from 1 species